AACGAACGCUGGCGGCAUGCCUAACACAUGCAAGUCGAACGAGACCUUCGGGUCUAGUGGCGCACGGGUGCGUAACGCGUGGGAACCUGCCCUUAGGUUCGGAAUAACUCCCCGAAAGGGGUGCUAAUACCGGAUAAUGUCUUCGGACCAAAGAUUUAUCGCCUUUGGAUGGGCCCGCGUUGGAUUAGCUAGUUGGUAGGGUAAAAGCCUACCAAGGCGACGAUCCAUAGCUGGUCUGAGAGGAUGAUCAGCCACACUGUGAGUGAGACACGGCCCAGACUCCUACGGGAGGCAGCAGUGGGGAAUAUUGGACAAUGGGCGAAAGCCUGAUCCAGCAAUGCCGCGUGAGUGAUGAAGGCCUUAGGGUUGUAAAGCUCUUUUACCCGGGAUGAUAAUGACAGUACCGGGAGAAUAAGCUCCGGCUAACUCCGUG
rnacentral:rRNA from 1 species